GACGGAGGAUGCAAGUGUUAUCCGGAAUCACUGGGCGUAAAGCGUCUGUAGGUGGUUUAAUAAGUCAACUGUUAAAUCUUGAGGCUCAACCUCAAAAUCGCUAGUCGAAACUAUUAGGCUAGAGUAUAGUAGGGGUAAAGGGAAUUCCAGUGGAGCGGUGAAAUGACGCAGAUAUCAGGAAGAACACCUAUGGCGAAGGCAGCUCUCUGGGACGGUACUGACGCUGAGACGCGAAAGCGUGGGGAGCGAACAGG
rnacentral:rRNA from 1 species